UCUAUGGCGGGUCGUGGUGGGGAUACCUUCGGGUAUGCCGGUUCCAAUGUGCCGGUCUGCUAACCCUGUCACGUGCCUGCCACCC
rnacentral:antisense_RNA from 1 species